GACGAACGCUGGCGGCGUGCCUAAUACAUGCAAGUCGAACGCUGAAGGAGGAGCUUGCUUCUCCGGAUGAGUUGCGAACGGGUGAGUAACGCGUAGGUAACCUGCCUGGUAGCGGGGGAUAACUAUUGGAAACGAUAGCUAAUACCGCAUAAGAGUAGAUGUCGCAUGACAUUUGCUUAAAAGGUGCAACUGCACCACUACCAGAUGGACCUGCGUUGUAUUAGCUAGUUGGUGAGGUAACGGCUCACCAAGGCAACGAUACAUAGCCGACCUGAGAGGGGGAUCGGCCACACUGGGACUGAGACACGGCCCAGACUCCUACGGGAGGCAGCAGUAGGGAAUCUUCGGCAAUGGACGGAAGUCUGACCGAGCAACGCCGCGUGAGUGAAGAAGGUUUUCGGAUCGUAAAGCUCUGUUGUAAGAGAAGAACGAGUGUGAGAGUGGAAAGUUCACACUGUGACGGUAUCUUACCAGAAAGGGACGGCUAACUACGUG
rnacentral:rRNA from 1 species